rnacentral:rRNA from 1 species
UGAGUACGAGAUGCUAAGGCGUCGAAGUAGUGUAUGUCAUACUUCCAAGAAAAGCUUGCACUGUCAUAAAUAAGAAAUGCCUGUACCAUAACCGACACAGGUGGGUAGGUAGAGUAUACUAAGGGGCGCGAGAUAACUCUCUCUAAGGAACUCGGCAAAAUAGCUCCGUAACUUCGGGAGAAGGAGUGCCUUAUUCGUAAGGCUGCAAUAACAAGAUCCAAGCAACUGUUUAUCAAAAACACAGGUCUCCGCUAAGUCGUAAGACGAUGUAUGGGGGCUGACGCCUGCCCAGUGCCAGAAGGUUAAAGAAGUUGGUUAGCAUUAGCGAAGCUGAUAACUGAAGCCCUGGUGAACGGCGGCCGUAACUAUAACGGUCCUAAGGUAGCGAAAUUCCUUGUCGGGUAAGUUUCGACCCGCACGAAAGGCGUAAUGAUUUGGAUACUGUCUCGGAGAGGGGCUCGGUGAAAUAGACUUGUCUGUGAAGAUGCGGACUACCUGCACCAGGACAGAAAGACCCUAUGAAGCUUUACUGUAACUUGAAAUUGAAAUUGGACUUUAGUCGCGCAGUAUAGGUGGGAGGCUUUGAUGAUAUUCUUGCGGGAAUAUUGGAGCUAUCAGUGAGAUACCACUCUUCUAAUGUUAGAUUUCUAACUUUGAACCAUUAUCUGGUCAGAGAACAGUUUCAGGCGGGCAGUUUGACUGGGGCGGUCGCCUCCCAAAUGGUAACGGAGGCGUACAAAGGUUUCCUCUGAACGGGUAGAAAUCGUAUCUAGAGUGUAAAGGCAUAAGGAAGCUUGACUGUGAGACCUACAAGUCGAACAGGGACGAAAGUCGGUCUUAGUGAUCUGACGGUACUGAGUGGAAAGGCCGUCACUCAACGGAUAAAAGUUACUCUAAGGAUAACAGGCUGAUCUCUCCCAAGAGUUCACAUCGACGGGGAGGUUUGGCACCUCGAUGUCGGCUCAUCGCAUCCUGGGGCGGUAGUACGGCCCAAGGGUUGGGCUGUUCGCCCAUGAAAGCGGUACGCGAGCUGGGUUCAGAACGUCGUGAGACAGUUCGGUCCAUAUCCGGUGUAGGCGUUAGAAUAUUGAGAGGAGCCUUCUUUAGUACGAGAGGACCGAGAAGGACAUACCUAUGGUGUACCAGUUAUCGUGCCAACGGUAAACGCUGGGUAGCUAAGUAUGGAGUGGAUAACCGCUGAAAGCAUCUAAGUGGGAAGCCCACCUCGAGAUGAG